rnacentral:rRNA from 1 species
GAUGAACGCUGGCGGCGUGCCUAAUACAUGCAAGUCGAGCGAACAGACGGGGAGCUUGCUCCUCUGACGUUAGCGGCGGACGGGUGAGUAACACGUGGAUAACCUACCUAUAAGACUGGGAUAACUUCGGGAAACCGGAGCCAAUACCGGAUAAUAUAUUGAACCGCAUGGUUCAAUAGUGAAAGACGGUUUUGCUGUCACUUAUAGAUGGAUCCGCGCCGCAUUAGCUAGUUGGUAAGGUAACGGCUUACCAAGGCAACGAUGCGUAGCCGACCUGAGAGGGUGAUCGGCCACACUGGAACUGAGACACGGUCCAGACUCCUACGGGAGGCAGCAGUAGGGAAUCUUCCGCAAUGGGCGAAAGCCUGACGGAGCAACGCCGCGUGAGUGAUGAAGGUCUUCGGAUCGUAAAACUCUGUUAUUAGGGAAGAACAAAUGUGUAAGUAACUAUGCACGUCUUGACGGUACCUAAUCAGAAAGCCACGGCUAACUACGUG